GACGUAGGGCGCAAGCGUUGUCCGGAUUUAUUGGGCGUAAAGAGCUCGUAGGCGGCUUGUUGCGUCGUCCGUGAAAACCCGCAGCUCAACUGCGGGCUUGCGGACGAUACGGGCGGGCUAGAGUUCGGUAGGGGAGACUGGAAUUCCUGGUGUAGCGGUGAAAUGCGCAGAUAUCAGGAGGAACACUGGUGGCGAAGGCGGGUCUCUGGGCCGAUACUGACGCUGAGGAGCGAAAGCGUGGGGAGCGAACAGG
rnacentral:rRNA from 1 species